AUUGAACGUUGGCGGCACGCCUUAUACAUGCAAGUCGAACGAGAAAGCACCUUCGGGUGUGAGUAAAGUGGCGGACGGGUGAGUAACGCGUAGGAACAUACCCAGUAGUGGGGGACAACUCGGGGAAACUCGAGCUAAUACCGCAUACGCUGCUCUUCUUUCGAGGAGCAGGAAAGUGGGGGAUCUUCGGACCUCACGCUAUUGGAGUGGCCUGCGUCGGAUUAGCUUGUUGGUGGGGUAAAGGCUCACCAAGGCGACGAUCUGUAGCUGGUCUGAGAGGACGAUCAGCCACACUGGAACUGAGACACGGUCCAGACUCCUACGGGAGGCAGCAGUAGGGAAUCUUGGGCAAUGGGCGCAAGCCUGACCCAGCGAUGCCGCGUGUGUGAAGAAGGCCUUAGGGUUGUAAAGCACUUUCAGCAGCGAAGAAACGCCGGGAGUUAAUACCUCCUCGGUCUUGACGUUAACUGCAGAAGAAGUACCGGCUAACUCCGUG
rnacentral:rRNA from 1 species